GCAAAGUAUAAUAUUAACUGGAAAGAUCAGAACACCGCAAAGCUUGAAUGCCAAUCACAGGCUCUGUCGAAAUAGAAAAACAAGCAUACAAAUAGGAGGCCCUAGCUAAGGCAUGAGCAGCCAUGUUUCCUUGUCUUGAAACCCACUGCAAUGAGAAGUCCCUUCUUUGGUUUAGAAUCUAUUUACAAUCAGCCAUGAUCAAUCCCCAUUCUAAAAAAUCUUCCUCUGCAGACAUAACACCAAACAAUACCUCCUUUGAAUCAAUCUCAAGCUGCACAUUAGAGUAUUGUUGAACACUCAACCAUUGCAAAGUGUGCCUUAAUGCAACAGGUUCUGCAAACUUUGGAGGUCUCAAACCAGGAUGCCAACCCGAACCUGCAAUCACGAACAUACCAUUCUCAUCUCGCAACACAAACCCAAACCCAGUGCUCUAUUGAUCAUCAAAAACUACAGCAUCAAUGUUACACUUCAAAGUGCCUGAAUGUGGACAGGUCCAUUUGGAACCUCUACUAUUCAUAUUUGGAGUAGCAAAACCGCUAGCCUUAUCAGUACGCACUGCCAACCAAUUAUUCAAAUAAGAGAUGCCAUGCUGCACAAUUUGAACAGCAGUAAAAGACUUUUGAUUCCGAAUCAAUUGAUUCCUACUACCCCAGAGUCUCCAUGCCACAGCACAAAACUUUGCAAUACAUUCAGAAUUUGAUUGCUGAAAAAGACUAAAGAACCAGCUCCUAAUUUCUGCGUAAACAAUCCGAGAAUAAUCCACUCCUAUCAGUUUCCAGCAAUCAAUUGCCAAAGGACAUUUUAACAAAGCAUGAACUGAA
rnacentral:misc_RNA from 1 species